UGAGACACGAAUCCAGACCCUACGGGGUGCAGCAGGCGCGAAAACUUGGCAAUGCGAGAAAUCGUGACCAGGGAACUCCAAGUGCAUCGGGUAAGACCGAUGCUUUUCUUGACUCUUCAAAGGUCUUGGAAUAAGGGGUGGGUAAGGACGGUGCCAGCCGCCGCGGUAAUACCGGCGCCCCAAGUGGUAGUCGCUUUUAUUGGGCCUAAAACGUCCGUAGCCGGUCUGGUACAUUCGUGGGUAAAUCAAGGCGCUCAACGUCUUGAAUUCUGCGAGCACGGCCAGACUUGGGACCGGGUGAGGUGUGGGGUACUCUCAGGGUAGGGGUAAAAUCCUGUCAUCCUGAGAGGACCACCUGUUGCGAAGGCGCCACACUAGAACGGAUCCGACGGUCAGGGACGAAGCCUAGGGGCACGAACCGGAUUAGAUACCCGGGUAGUCCUAGGUGUAAACGCUGUGGACUUGAUGUUGGGGGCGCUCCGAGCGCACUCAGUGUCGAAGCGAAGGUGAUAAGUCCACUGCCUGGGGAGUACGGUCGCAAGGCUGAAACUUAAAGGAAUUGGCGGGGGAGCACCGCAACCUGAGGAUUGUGCGGUUUAAUUGGAUUCAACGCCGGAAAACUCACCAUAGCCGACGGACAUAUGAAGGCCAGCGUAACGAGCUUGCCGGAUUGUUCGAGAGGUAGUGCAUGGCCGUCGUCAGUUCGUACCGCAAGGCGUUCUGUUAAGUCAGAUAACGAACGAGACCCUCAUCCCUAUUUGCUAACCCGAUCUCCGGAUCAGGCGCACUAUAGGGAGACCGCUGGCGCGAAGUCAGAGGAAGGCGAGGGCAACGGUAGGUCAGUAUGCUCCGAAUGCUAUGGGCUACACGCGCAAUACAAAGGACGGGACAAUGGGCUGCUGCUCCGAAAGGAACGAUGGCUAUCCCGAAACCCGUUCGUAGUUCGGAUUGAGGGCUGUAACUCGCCCUCAUGAAGCUGGAUUAGGUAGUAAUCGCGUCUCAAAAAGGCGCGGUGAAUAUGCCCCUGCUCCUUGCACACACCGCCCGUCAAAC
rnacentral:rRNA from 1 species